rnacentral:rRNA from 1 species
UGGGGAAUAUUGCACAAUGGGGGAAACCCUGAUGCAGCAACGCCGCGUGAGUGAUGAAGGCCUUCGGGUUGUAAAGCUCUGUCUUUUGGGACGAUAAUGACGGUACCAAAGGAGGAAGCCACGGCUAACUACGUGCCAGCAGCCGCGGUAAUACGUAGGUGGCAAGCGUUGUCCGGAUUUACUGGGCGUAAAGGAUGCGUAGGUGGAUACUUAAGUGAGAUGUGAAAUCCCCAAGCUUAACUUGGGAGCUGCAUUUCAAACUGGGUAUCUAGAGUGCAGGAGAGGUAAGUGGAAUUCCUAGUGUAGCGGUGAAAUGCGUAGAGAUUAGGAAGAACACCAGUGGCGAAGGCGACUUACUGGACUGUAACUGACACUGAGGCAUGAAAGCGUGGGGAGCAAACAGG